rnacentral:rRNA from 1 species
UACGUAGGGGGCAAGCGUUGUCCGGAUUUAUUGGGCGUAAAGAGCGUGUAGGCGGCUUUACAGGUCCGUUGUGAAAACUCGAGGCUCAACCUCGAGACGCCGGUGGAAACCGUAAGGCUAGAGUCCGGAAGAGGAGAGUGGAAUUCCGUGGUGUAGCGGUGAAAUGCGCAGAUAUCAGGAAGAACACCCGUGGCGAAGGCGGUUCUCUGGGACGGUACUGACGCUGAGACGCGAAAGCGUGGGGAGCAAACAGG